CCUACGGGGGGCAGCAGUGGGGAAUAUUGCACAAUGGGGGAAACCCUGAUGCAGCGACGCCGCGUGAGUGAAGAAGUAAUUCGUUACGUAAAGCUCUAUCAGCAGGGAAGAAAUACUGACCUUACGGUCAGCAGACGGUACCUGAGUAAGAAGCCCCGGCUAACUACGUGCCAGCAGCCGCGGUAAUACGUAGGGGGCUAGCGUUAUCCGGAAUUACUGGGCGUAAAGGGUGCGUAGGUGGUUUCUUAAGUCAGAGGUGAAAGGCUACGGCUCAACCGUAGUAAGCCUUUGAAACUGGGAAACUU
rnacentral:rRNA from 1 species